rnacentral:rRNA from 1 species
UAGGGAAUCUUCCGCAAUGGGCGAAAGCCUGACGGAGCAACGCCGCGUGCGUGAUGAAGGUCUUCGGAUCGUAAAACUCUGUUAUUAGGGAAGAACAAAUGUGUAAGUAACUAUGCACGUCUUGACGGUACCUAAUCAGAAAGCCACGGCUAACUACGUGCCAGCAGCCGCGGUAAUACGUAGGUGGCAAGCGUUAUCCGGAAUUAUUGGGCGUAAAGCGCGCGUAGGCGGUUUUUUAAGUCUGAUGUGAAAGCCCACGGCUCAACCGUGGAGGGUCAUUGGAAACUGGAAAACUUGAGUGCAGAAGAGGAAAGUGGAAUUCCAUGUGUAGCGGUGAAAUGCGCAGAGAUAUGGAGGAACACCAGUGGCGAAGGCGACUUUCUGGUCUGUAACUGACGCUGAUGUGCGAAAGCGUGGGGAUCAAACAGG